rnacentral:lncRNA from 1 species
AGAGCUGAUGUGAAACUUCUGCAUAAUGAAGGACUGCAUAAAUCAAGGUUGAGCUUUCUCCAAUAAAGUGGACUCAUUUAUUCAAAUAUUUGGGACUUUCAUAUCAUACUGGAUUUGAACCUUAGAUUAAAAAAAAUGCUUUGGAUUUCAACUUUCAACUUCACCAUUGGAUUUCAACUUUCAAGCUAUCACUGAAUUAUCUUCACCUAGGAACCUCGACAAGUCUUAUGGUUAUUAUAUUUAUAUUUACAUAGUGUAGUUCAGGUGUUUUUUUCCCUCUAGAAACUUAGUAUAUGUCCUUAGAUUUUAAUGUUUUUAGUGUUUUGAUCAAUUUGUUAAUUAUCUUCUAUUUUUCAUUCUCAUUUCAUCUUUUAGUGCAAGAAUUCUACUUUUUAUACGAAUUUACAGUUUAAAAAAAUUUAAUUCAUGGUGCGGGUUGCAUUUAGGCUCCUUAUCUUCUUCCAUUAUAUGACAGGCAUUGGGUGAUAAUACACCCAAAGACACUUUUCUACGGAAGUUAAAGUUACAAAAAUAUGGUGCUGUUUAUGUUAAUUCCCGUAUACAUGCUGUCAAAGCUGAAGUACUUGUGCAGAAGCAGUGUCCUUUAGUGGCACUAGCAACUUCUUCUCCCAGCCUAGUUGGUAGGUAAGCAUAACUAGGAUUGUAUCACAUAUAGCAAGCCAAGAUUUCAUUAAGUUAAAAAGUAAAAAUUUUAAAUGGCAUAGGACUUGGGUAGUAGUUGAUUUGUAAGAAAAUAACACAACAUUGUUGUCUUUGUGUAUUGAUUUUGGCACUAAGUGCUUCUGGUGACCUAUUUGCUUCAUUUUCCUUGUUAUUAUUUUUAAAUAUGUGCAGGAAGACUGCUUCUAUGACCUACCUUACUGUGACACCCCCAAAUCCGGGUACUUUGAUUCCACGGGAUUUGGUAUUCACUGUACAAAUAUCAUCUAUCUAUCUACCCAUAAUAAAUGCAAGUCAUGCAAUAGAUAGAAUAAAAAUCUUCCCCUCAAGGGUUACAACAUCCGAAUAAUAAUAAUACAAUCCUAGGUUAACCUAACCUUACAUCUGUGCGGAAUCAUAAACAAAUAAGUCUUAACAACAUCAUUAACUUAAGUCUUAAACAUAAAUACAUCAUCUAAUAAAAUAACAAGUCUUCAUCACUUGCUAACUUUGCCCUUGCCCUUACUAGUGGAAGGUUCAUCAGUUCUUU